rnacentral:rRNA from 1 species
UACGUAGGGCGCAAGCGUUAUCCGGAAUUUAUUGGGCGUAAAGAGCUCGUAGGCGGUUUGUCGCGUCUGCCGUGAAAGUCCGGGGCUCAACUCCGGAUCUGCGGUGGGUACGGGCAGACUAGAGUGAUGUAGGGGGAGACUGGAAUUCCUGGUGUAGCGGUGAAAUGCGCAGAUAUCAGGAGGAACACCGAUGGCGAAGGCAGGUCUCUGGGCAUUAACUGACGCUGGAGGAGCGAAAGCAUGGGGGAGCAAACAGG